UGUUGAUAGGCAUUCAUGUUUAAAAUUCUUGUUAUUAUAAACAGUGUUGCAGGGAAGAUCCUUGAACAGCACAUGGAGUGUCUGACUCAAGCUUUGAGUUGUUUUUCCAGGAGCUGAGAAUCAGCCUGGUGAUGACAAAAGAACAUGGACUUGGGAUCCGAAGACUCAAGCACACAUGCCCAAGGCAGCCUCCUGAUAUCAGGGCUGUAGGAUACUUUGAAGAAGUAGAACAGAAUUGGCCAUUAUGAAGACCAGACUCCUGACUUGCCUGCCUUCUGGAAAGCAAUAGGCAUUAAUUCCUUCAUUUAUUCAAGUAGCCAUUUAAUGAGUACUCACUAUUUAUUAUGUGCCACAGACUAUAGGAUAGAGCUUUUCCCAUCCAGGAGCUUUCAAUCUCAUCAGAGAUAAGACACACUCAUGAGAAAUAAAAUAUACAAGACAAUACAAGAGAGAAAAUAGCUGUCAAGCAGCCUAGACUUCAGAGGAGCGCUGUCACUUUCACUUUCAGCUAGAAUGAUGGGGAAAGGAUUUCAUCAUAAAGAUUUCAUGAUGGAAUUGGAAUUUAGAGAGCUGUGAAUGGCAGGUGUAUUUAGAUAGCUGCUGUCACAGCCAUAAUGAUCAUCUAUUUUAGCUUUGAGGGAGAAUCCCCUGCAGGCCAGGAUGUGUGCCUGGUUCCCAAAAAUGAAACUGAGCACAAUUUCCUCUAGAAACAUUGUUUUAAAUUAUCUAAACUACAAUUCAAUGACUGCAGCUAUGUUAUGGUAGCUAGAUUAUAAAGUCUAUAUUUAGAAAUGGACAUAAACUUUUGUGAUCUGAGGUAAGUAGCAGUAUGUGCCACUGAUGGGAAACUUUGUUCCACUGUUCUGAACAGCCAGAUCACAGAUGAGCUUUGCAGUACCACCUGUUCAAACAUUAGAAACUACAAUAGGGAGGCAUUGAAAGUUCUUGAGCAGAGGAGCAAUAUCAAAAUCUUUGGGGAAAGUUAUCUGGUACAAGCAUGCAGGACGGAUUUCAGCUGCAGAGCUUUAAAGGUUACUGCCGGGGGCUUCCCUGGUGGCGCAGUGGUUGCGCGUCCGCCUGCCGAUGCAGGGGAACCGGGUUCGCGCCCCGGUCUGGGAGGAUCCCACAUGCCGCGGAGCGGCUGGGCCCGUGAGCCAUGGCCGCUGGGCCUGCGCGUCCGGAGCCUGUGCUCCGCAACGGGAGAGGCCACAACAGAGGGAGGCCCGCAUACCACAAAAAAAAUAAUAAAAUAAAGGUUACUGCCGAAGCCCAGGUGUGAGGUAACAGCAGGAAGGGACAGAUGCAAAAGAUAGUAUGCAAACGAUAUCUACCAAAUUAGUGUUUUUUUAAAAAUCACAUAGGGAAUUCCCUGGUGGUCCAGUGGUUAGGACUCUGCACUUCCACUGCAGGGGCCCGGGUUUGCUCCCUGGUCAGGGAGCUAAGAUCCCACAAGCCACGUGGCACAGCCAAAAUAAAAAUAAAAAUCACAAAAUUUACCUGACAACUGGAUUCCUUUGCUAAUUCAGUAAGUAUUGUGUGCCUACUAGGUGCCAGGCACUGAAGAUGUAACAGGAGCAAAACAAAGCCCCACCCUCAGGGAGCUUAUGGUACAAUUGGGGAAGAUGAGUCAACGUACAUUUGAGGGCUUACUGUGUGCCAGGCACUGAUGGAGGAGCUGGAGAUGUAGCAGUAAAUAAAGCUUUAAAAUCCCUGCUUCUGUGGAGCUUACAUUCUGAGAAUGCAAAUAACUAUGUGUUAAAAGGAAAAACCAAGGAGUAAGGGGGACAGGAGCGUACACAGGUUUACAGAACAGAAAGUGAUGCCGUGGAGGGGUGGGUAUAUACUGUUCAUUCAAUAAGUUUGGUUGUGAAUGAAAAGAGAAAUGGAGUGGCUGGUGAGAACAGUGGGGUGAAUAAAGUAUUUUUCAGGAUAACGUAGGUAGAGGAUUGGCAGCCAGUGAACAGUAAGCACUGAGCAGUAAGGGUGGAAGGAAGAUGGGUUAAGAGCACUUUAAAAAGCUCAACUGGCAAAGAGGAGAGUGAAGAAGUGUGGUGUCAGAGGCUGAGGGUAAAGGAGAGGGACCCUCAUGCCUGAGGUGCCUCAGGGUAAGCAGUAGGAGAGACGAGGGCCAGUGCGGCGGAGGCCUAGAGGGAACCUGUGAAAUCCACAAUUCAGACUGGUCAGCAAUGGAUUCUAAAGUUGCUGAAAUAGGUAUCGAAGGAGGAAGCAUAUGCUGCAAUCAUGUAAUGGGGGAACUGGGUGUAAACAAGAAUUGAGAGGGCAGGUACGCUGAAUGUCGGACUUCAAAUGAGGAGUGGGAUGGGUCACCGUCCAACAUGCUGGUCCAAGAGGGAAGGACUGAAGGGAACCAUCUGGCCUCUCCCUUUGAUGGGACUGAAUUGGCCCUUUACCCCUCACCUGCAUGCCUGAGGCCAUAUCAAGAGACUUGGCAAUCGCCUUGCCCUGCCCUUUGGCAGCCCCCCCAAAUCAAGUGACCAUGAAGUUCCUUGAUUGCAGGGACCAUCCGGAUAUCCACUGGGGACUAGCACAUGGUAGGCACUUGGUUUCUGUUCAGUUAAAGUGAAGCCACACACAGAAUUUAAAGAGUUAGAAGGAACAUCAGAAAUAAUCCAGUUUAAAAAAAAGAAAAAAGAAUCUGGUUGAACUCUCUUGGAAUUUGCUUCCUGUGAGGUGUGGGCCAAAUUUGGGGUCUCUCACGUUAUCAGGGUCAAACCCCCUCCCACUAAGCCCUUCAGUAGGAUUUUUCUCCCAUCUCCGAGAUUAGGUCACGGUUUUCUAAGUAUGGGCUGGUGACACCAGGACUCCCUAUGACCCUUUCAAAGGAUCUGUGAAGUUGAAACAUUUUCACAAUACUGAGAUGUCAUUUGCCUUUUCCACUCAUUCCUUACAAGUGUACAGUGGAGUUUUCCAGUGCCUGCACGAUAUGUGACAUUGCAACAGACUGAAUGCAGAAGGAGACAUGAGAAUCCAGAAGUGAAGAGGCUUGCAAAAAUGCAGAGCAAUGCCACUCUCAUUAAAAUGGUUUUUGGGAGAUGCAAGAGGGAAGAGAUACGGGAACAUAUGUAUAUGUAUAACUGAUUCACUUUGUUAUAAAGCAGAAACUGACACACCAUUGUAAAGCAAUUAUACUCUAAUAAAGAUGUUUAAAAAAAAGGACCCAACACAGCCAAAAAUAAAUUUUAAAAUUUAAAAAUAUAAAUAAAUAAAAUGGCUUGUUUUGGAAAAAAUAUUUGUUAUGGUUAUUUAUGCUAAUAUGUAAUGGAUUUAUUCUUUUUAAACGAAUUAAUAAAGCUUUUAAAGUUGACCAGUUUUGAUGUCUAAGAUGGUAAGUAUCAGUAGGCAAAUUACAUAUAAGCCAGAGCUCUUUGGGUCCUCCAUCAUCUUUCACAGUGUGAAGGAGCCUUGAAGCAAAAAUGUUUGAGCAAUGCUGGGUUAGAUACUGCUGCGCCCAGCUUCCCACCUCCUUUUCUAUGGGAACCUAAAUGGUAAGAAAGAUCUAACGUAGCUUAUGACCAGGCUGUCAUCUCAACCAGAGCUCAGAGCAGCAUCACAAAGUGACCGGUGUUUCCAUGCAGACACACUCAGGAGUCUCACCCAGAAAUCCCACUGAGCUAAUAAUCCUUGGACCAGUUUUUCUAGUUUCCUAAGCUUUGUUAAUAUCAACACUAUCCUUCCACCAGGGCAGCCUGCAGGGAACCCUCCUAGCAGCUCAGAACCACCCAGUGAAAUAACUGAGCUCCACCUCUUCUGAAAGGUGAAACCUAAUCACUCCAGAGAGGCACACGCCAAGAACUUGACUGUUUCUUUUGUUAAAUUCACCUUCCAAAAGUAUUUUUAUAGUAUGGCCCUGGGACAUGGUGACCAGAGUUAUCAAGAAAUGUGGGUUUUUUCCAGUUCUGCAGCCAACUGGCCACACAACCUCAGAGAUGCUCCUUUCCUUCCAUACCUCAACUGUACUCCUCAUAAAACAGGGACAGGCUCCUGGCCUCUCCUGUCGGAAGCACUGCUCCAGCAAUGACAGGGGAGUGCUUUCCAGCCCAGGCACAGUGAAGCCCCAACCAUGUACUUACACACCUCUUUUUCAGUGUUUUAGAUAUUCAAACGCAGUAAUCACUCUGCAAGAAAAAUCUGAUUUUAAGUUAAUAGCUUUUCAAACUUCAGGCUCAAAAAAUUAACAUCUGUAAAUUCUGGGUCCAGCAAUUACCCCCUGAUAAGAGCACUGCAUUUGCAACGCACCUUAAAUGGUACUAGGUGCCCACUGUUCAGUCCCUUUUUGUCAGUAUACCUCACUUUAAUCACAUCAUCCACAUAUGCAGCACCUCCCGCGUGCCCAGCCAUGUAUGGAGGGCAUUACCUCAUUCACUCCAGACAAGCCUGUGGGGCUUGUCACUGUACUGUCACUGUACAGAUGAGGACAUGGGCUCAGAGAGGUUAGGGGACAUGCUCUGGCUUAAUAUGAAGUGGGCAAGGUUUAAACCUGACUUCCAAGUCUGUGAAGCUCCACUAGGGCGCUCUGUACUAGACUUUUUUUUUUCUUUUUAAACUUAUUUAUUUUUGGCUGCGUUGGGUCUUCGUUGCUGCACGCUAUCUUUCUCUAGUUGGGGCAAGCAGGCUCUAGAGCACAGGCUCAGUAGUUGUGGCGCACAGGCUUAGUUGCUCCGCGGCAUGGGGGAUCGUCCCGGCCCAGGGCUCGAACCCGUGUCCCCUGCAUUGGCAGGCGGGUUCUUAACCACUGCGCCACCAGGGAAGUCCCUGUACUAGACUUUUAAAGCAAUAGCUUCAUUUCCUUAAAAAUAUUUUAGAACCUAGAUCUUUAAGUUAGGCUGCUUCCUGUUUUUCUUAUUGUUCUUAUUUAGAAAGGCUUGUAGCAGUUAAAGACCAGUCUGCACAGAACUGUACUUAGAAGAAAAACAUUCCCAACUGCCUGUCUUGUUUUGAGAUCAGCUCUCAGUAAAAUAACGUCCCCAAAUCCCUGCCAAUAAAACAGUGUUGACCCUGCAGGUCCCUUGCCCUUCUCCCAAGCCCUCCGGCAUCACAGCAGUGGGACAAAGGGAACUCACCUUUGGUUCCUAGAAGGGACGUGAACCAUGUCACACUCCCCCACAUUUUAAAAUAGUCUUGACGCCCAUGAUUCCAGAGGCUCCUAGAGUUAAAGGGUUGAGAAUGCUCAGUUUAGUUUUCCCGGGAUUAGCUAAAGGCACACCAUUUUGUCACUGCCUUUCAAACACAUGGCAGAGAAAGACGGGAGUCCCCUCUCUAGAGGAUCAUGGGAGUCUUAGAAAUGUCUUUUCUAAAGACAGCAAGGGUCCCGUACGUGGGGCGAGGUAUGGAUCAGCCCGCAGAGCUGCUGGAGGAGGCCUCGGGUGGCUCAGGCCCCGGGCCAGUCACCUGGAGCCGCCUCAGCACGUUACCUCAUGUGCUGCAGGAUGUGAGAGGCCUGCAGGCGCCAGUCUAAGGAGUGGCAGGUGCUUGUGCCCAACUAGCCAGUUCAGUAAGAAUAAGAGAAAGGCUAAGGAUAUGGAUGGCUCAGACAGACCGCCACUUAUUAGCCUUGUGACUUCUCUGUGCCUCAAUUUCCCUCCUCAGGAAAAUAGUAAGAAACUACUCUGUAGGUUGAGUGGAUUAAGUGAAAAAAAUGCCAAAUGUCAUCUGUUAUAAUUACUAUUAACCCCCAAAAGAUAACUUUAAGACAUAUUGAGAGCUUCCACUCCAAAUUCCUCAUUAUACGGAUGAGAAAAUUGGCCUAGAAAUGUUGGGUGACUCGUCCAAGGCUAAACCAACCACCAGGGCAAAUAGCUUUGUUCUCGGCGGCCAAGCUCCAUUUCCUCCAGGAUGUUCGUUCGGUCUGGGCACCUGUUUUCAGGACUAUGACUCUGGCCUGACGGGGUUCCCUUUGCCUGCUCCACCGUCAUGGCUGUGACAGCCCUUCACAGCUCGUUUCCUGGGAGUUCACACCCUCCUUCCAGACUCAGGAAAUACAAUUCAGUAUGCUCGGGGAGCCUCUGAGUCAUCUCCGUCUGUAAAUCAACCUUUAUCCGUCUAUCCUCAACAGAGAGAUCUCAUCCUCCUCCAGUUUCUGGAACUGGAACUGGUGUUUUUCCUUUGGAUUUUGCUUACUGUCUUCCACCUCUAAGUACAUCAGGCUCCCCUCCCAACUUCAGACUGGGGACACCACCAGAGGUGGACGUAAGCCUCUAAGAUUCUAGAGGAAACACUGAAGACUUACCUCAGAGGCUUAAAAGAGGUCUCCCAGCCCACGACCCCUCACAUAGGAACUUCAUCUGCCUCCCCACAGCUAACUGGCAGAGGUGACUGCAUAUGCAGACGGCUUGCUGGACAUAUGCCCCAGGCAGCUGGGAGGAUGCUGAUGACCAUCUGAAUCCCAGAAGCAGAGGACAGUUACCAUGGCUACCAAGAGCUGUAACCACUGGCUGCCUUGGCUAUGGGGAUCAGCUCAGCUGACCUCUCAAGGUCCCUUCCAGACCUGGGAUUCUACAUUUACAGUGAGCCUGAUGAGACCGUGUCUGCUGCAAGAAAAUAGGAAGUCCUGUGACAUAUAUGGCUCAGGCAUAGAAAGCAAUUAUCUCAGAGGUCACCUUGUCUUAUUCACCAGAAGUGCUGAGUCACAAGGCUACUUUCUAUCUCUGCUGCAACAUUAAUAAGCAAAGCCUUGCUUUUUUUCGUAUAGCACUUCAGGCCCUUUAUAAAGUGAGUUUGCGACCACCAUGUUUAAUUUUUCUUCCUUUUACAACUCUGACCAGAAAUUUUGAUAGAAGUUUGUUCCAUAUUGUGACCAGGGAAACAGCCCAGAAACACUUGCGUCUCUGGGCCCGGAGGAGCGUGCUCCGUCAGGCAGGACGCUUGGAUCACGAGCCUUCUAAGAACUAGGAGGAAGGAAGUCAUUCAUAAAGUAGGCAGAUACUGAACUGCAACUUUGGUUUCCUCUGGCAAUUCUGAUUACAGGAAUGUGGUUUGUUCUUAUUCCAGAGAGGGGAAGAGUUUCUCUUUAAAACUUGACUCCCAGAAGCUCCCUACCGGUCUCAGGACAGAGCAGGGAGGUGGCUAAUUCGACCCUGGUAACCUCCACGGCAGGUGAGAACACAGGCCUGGCUGCACCCCUCUUGAUACCUAACCUCAGGACAGAGAAGGCUGUAGGUAUCUACAAGACUUCCAAGAGCAGGAGAGAGAUGCCCAGAAAUCAGACUGCUGCCUGUGCUUAUGAAAACAGCUGCAAGUCUUGCCUUGUUCCUGAUGCAAGAAGCUUCAUGUUUAGUGGAUGUUUGGAGAUUUUUAAAAAUCUGCUUAUCAAGAUUAAAUCAGGGCUUCCCUGGUGGCGCAGUGGUUGAGAAUCUGCCUGCUAAUGCAGGGGACACGGGUUCGAGCCCUGGCCUGGGAGGAUCCCACAUGCCACGGAGCAACUAGGCCCGUGAGCCACAACUACUGAGCCUGCGCAUCUGGAGCCUGUGCUCCGCAACAAGAGAAGCCGCGAUAGUGAGAGGCCCGCGCACCGCAAUGAAGAGUGUCCCCCACUUGCCACAACUAGAGAAAGCCCUCGCACAGAAACGAAGACCCAACACAGCAAAAAUAAACAAACUCCUACCCCCAACAUCUUCUUUAAAAAAAAAAAAAAAAAAAAAGAUUAAAUCAAAGCCUUUAUUAAACAUCCCUCCUUCAAACCACCUGCAUUUAAACCUAUACCCCUCUCCCGACUUGCGAACUGCUAGGGCUAUGUGUGUGUCAUUGUCACCUGGAGGGUCAGAUCCAGUUGGGCUACACAAUGCUGAAAAGCCACGCCAAGGCACACCACACUGGGCACACCUCCACGGUUCUGUGCCCGUCAGGAUCUAGGCAAAGGCUGGCAGCACUGGCCCUGGGACCAGAGCUCAAGCACAGGAGACCGGGAAGCUGAAGUCUGAGCCUCCUUGUUCCAGACCUAGCCAUGCAGAGCGGACAAGCAGCUCUUGGCUACCACUGGGUGAGGCUCACCCAUGUGCUUUUCCUUCUCGUCUCCAAAGAAAAGGGUGAGAGAUGGAGGAGGCAAUUUUCAGUUGUGUGUGGGUUUGAUUUAAGGCUUUGGCUGUGGUCUGCUGAUAUAUUAAAAUACUUUCUGGGAACGCCAUCUCCUAAGCUCCCCAUCAGAACAAACGUAUUUCCAAAAAUGAAAACAUUGAACAAAGAGGUGGAGCUGAAAUGCUGAUGCAGAGCCCAGUGGAUAGGCCCAGGUCUGUCAGGUCAGGAUGGUGUCGUCCACCUGCUCUGUGGAGUCGGCCUGGCUGGCCAGCUUCUUCAGAGACCUUCGGUUGCAUUCAUUCAGCACCUCCAAGCUGGCCACGUCCAGGAUCUUGCAGAGGGACUG